AACACUUAAAUCUUUACCGUUUGGUUUGGGAAUAGGAAUAGGGAUAGGCCCUUAUCCCCCCUUUUAUAUCCAAACGCUAAUUUUUUACCCGAGAAUAGUAGUUCUCGAUUAUCCCCACCAACACCUCUAUUUUCUAUAUAAAACUUUCUAAUAUUUUUCUUAUCCUCGGGAACAACCCAAUUUUUAUCCAAACGCUAUUUUUCUUAUCCCCAUACUUGUACCUAUCCCUGUAAUAGCUAGUUCUUGCUUAUACCCGAACCAAACGGUACUAAGCUUUAAUUUCUUCUAAUUUUUUACUUGAAUAUUCAAAAUUAUUAUAACUUAAUUUAAUUAACUAAAUAUAGAACGCGUUGCUACUAUAGAAGUGAUGUAACAGUGUUGUUAUUGAUAUUACGUCAAUAAUUAAGAUGUUAACCUAUUUUUAUAUCAACAAUGCGUCAAUAUUUAAUCAACUAUAUAAAUU
rnacentral:lncRNA from 1 species